CCUACGGGGGACAGCAGUGGGGGAUAUUGCACAAUGGGGGAAACCCUGAUGCAGCGACGCCGCGUGAGUGAAGAAGUAUUUCGGUAUGUAAAGCUUUAUCAGUAGGGAAGUAAAUGACGGUACCUGAUUAAGAAGCCCCGGCUAACUACGUGCCAGCAGCCGCGGUAAUGCGGAGGGGGCAAGCGUUAUCCGGAUUUACUGGGUGUAAAGGGAGCGUAGUCGGGUUUGUAAGUCAGGAGUGAAAGCCCGGGGCCCAACCCCGGGACUGCUUUGGAAACUGUGUAACUGGAGUACAGGAGGGGCAGGCGGAAUUCCUGGUGUAGCGGUGAAAUGCGUAGAUAUCAGGAGGAACACCGGCUGCGAAGGCAGCCUGCUGGACUGAAACUGACGUUGAGGCUCGAAAGCGUGGGGAGCAAACAGGAUUAGAUACCCCUGUAGUC
rnacentral:rRNA from 1 species